CCUCGAUCUAUACAUGCAGUCGUACGAACUCUGGUAUUGAUUGGUGCUUGCAUCAUGAUUUACAUUUGAGUGAGUGGCGAACUGGUGAGUAACACGUGGGAAACCUGCCCAGAAGCGGGGGAUAACACCUGGAAACAGAUGCUAAUACCGCAUAACAACUUGGACCGCAUGGUCCGAGCUUGAAAGAUGGCUUCGGCUAUCACUUUUGGAUGGUCCCGCGGCGUAUUAGCUAGAUGGUGGGGUAACGGCUCACCAUGGCAAUGAUACGUAGCCGACCUGAGAGGGUAAUCGGCCACAUUGGGACUGAGACACGGCCCAAACUCCUACGGGAGGCAGCAGUAGGGAAUCUUCCACAAUGGACGAAAGUCUGAUGGAGCAACGCCGCGUGAGUGAAGAAGGGUUUCGGCUCGUAAAACUCUGUUGUUAAAGAAGAACAUAUCUGAGAGUAACUGUUCAGGUAUUGACGGUAUUUAACCAGAAAGCCACGGCUAACUACGUGCCAGCAGCCCGCGGGU
rnacentral:rRNA from 1 species